rnacentral:rRNA from 1 species
GAUGAACGCUGGCGGCGUGUCUAAUACAUGCAAGUCGAGCGAACGGACGAGAAGCUUGCUUCUCUGAUGUUAGCGGCGGACGGGUGAGUAACACGUGGAUAACCUACCUAUAAGACUGGGAUAACUUCGGGAAACCGGAGCUAAUACCGGAUGAUAUUUUGAACCGCAUGGUUCAAAAGUGAAAGACGGUCUUGCUGUCACUUAUAGAUGGAUCCGCGCUGCAUUAGCUAGUUGGUAAGGUAACGGCUUACCAAGGCAACGAUGCAUAGCCGACCUGAGAGGGUGAUCGGCCACACUGGAACUGAGACACGGUCCAGACUCCUACGGGAGGCAGCAGUAGGGAAUCUUCCGCAAUGGGCGAAAGCCUGACGGAACAACGCCGCGUGAGUGAUGAAGGUCUUCGGAUCGUAAAACUCUGUUAUUAGGGAAGAACAUAUGUGUAAGUAACUGUGCACAUCUUGACGGUACCUAAUCAGAAAGCCACGGCUAACUACGUG